rnacentral:rRNA from 1 species
UACCAGCACCCCGAGUGGUCGGGACGUUUAUUGGGCCUAAAGCAUCCGUAGCCGGUUCUACAAGUCUUCCGUUAAAUCCACCUGCUUAACAGAUGGGCUGCGGAAGAUACUAUGGAGCUAGGAGGCGGGAGAGGCAAGCGGUACUCGAUGGGUAGGGGUAAAAUCCGUUGAUCCAUUGAAGACCACCAGUGGCGAAGGCGGCUUGCCAGAACGCGCUCGACGGUGAGGGAUGAAAGCUGGGGG